rnacentral:rRNA from 1 species
ACUCCUACGGGAGGCAGCAGUGAGGAAUAUUGGUCAAUGGGCGCAAGCCUGAACCAGCCAUCCCGCGUGCAGGAAGACGGCGCUAUGCGUUGUAAACUGCUUUUCCAGGGGGAGAAACUUGCGUACGUGAUACGCAAUUGACGGUACCCUGGGAAUAAGCAUCGGCUAACUCCGUGCCAGCAGCCGCGGUAAU